CACUCCUGGGUCGGAUCUGUUUAGAAAGAUCUUAGCAGGACCGCUUCCCACAAGUUAUCAGAAUGAUUGUGUCGACACUUUUUCUCAGUUUGUUACUGACUUUCUUAUCAUGUGUCCAGUCGGAGGUUGUUUUGACCCAGCCAGAGGCAGAGACUGGCCGUCCCGCAGGCAGCCUGAAACUGACCUGUAAAACCAGCGGGUUCGAUCUUAGCAGCUACAGCAUGAGCUGGGUCCGACAGGUUCCCGGACAGGGUCUGGAGUGGCUGCUUUGGUACUAUGAUUCAUCCAGCAGUAACUCUGCACCAGCGAUUAAGGGUCGAUUUACUGCGUCCAAAGACACAUCAAACAACAUUUUCGCGUUGGACAUGGAGAACCUGAAGAUCGAAGACACCACCAUCUAUUCCUGUGCAAGAGACCACAGCGAGAGGAACCAGGGCUGGACCCGUUCAAAAACAGCCCGAGGGAACAUUUUGUCAAUUCCAUCAUAAACUGACGAGCUAGUUAUUGUGUGACCCAGUCCAGAGGAUGUUACACUGUGACGAUCUUGAUUACUGGGGCCA